rnacentral:rRNA from 1 species
GACGAACGCUGGCGGCGUGCCUAAUGCAUGCAAGUCGCACGCACCCGCUUCGGCGGGUGAGUGGCGCACGGCUGAGUAACACGUGGGAACCCCCCCCCCGGUGGGGGAUAACGCGACGAAAGUUGCGCUAAUCCCGCAUACGUCCGCAAGGAGAAAGCGCACCCGCGCGCGGGGGGAGGGGCCUGCGGCCCAUCAGGUCGUUGGUGGGGUAAUGGCCUACCAAGCCGAUGACGGGUAGCUGGUCUGGGAGGAUGACCAGCCAGACUGGGACUGAGACACGGCCCACACUCCUACGGGAGGCAGCAGCAAGGAAUUUUCGGCAAUGGGCGCAAGCCUGACCGAGCAACGCCGCGUGCGGGAUGACGGCCUUCGGGUUGUAAACCGCUUUUCGGGGGGACGACCCUGACGGUACCCCCGGAAUCAGCCCCGGCUAACUCUGUGCCAGCAGCCGCGGUAAGACAGAGGGGGCGAGCGUUGUCCGGAGUCACU